rnacentral:rRNA from 1 species
UACCAGCACCCCGAGUGGUCGGGACGUUUAUUGGGCCUAAAGCAUCCGUAGCCGGUUCUACAAGUCUUCCGUUAAUCCACCUGCUUAACAGAUGGGCUGCGGAAGAUACUAUGGAGCUAGGAGGCGGGAGAGGCAAGCGGUACUCGAUGGGUAGGGUAAAAUCCGUUGAUCCAUUGAAGACCACCAGUGGCGAAGGCGGCUUGCCAGAACGCGCUCGACGGUG